ACACAUGCAAGUCGAACGAUGACUCUCUAGCUUGCUAGAGAAGAUUAGUGGCGGACGGGUGAGUAACAUUUAGGAAUCUGCCUAGUAGUGGGGGAUAGCUCGGGGAAACUCGAAUUAAUACCGCAUACGACCUACGGGUGAAAGGGGGCGCAAGCUCUUGCUAUUAGAUGAGCCUAAAUCAGAUUAGCUAGUUGGUGGGGUAAAGGCCCACCAAGGCGACGAUCUGUAACUGGUCUGAGAGGAUGAUCAGUCACACCGGAACUGAGACACGGUCCGGACUCCUACGGGAGGCAGCAGUGGGGAAUAUUGGACAAUGGGGGCAACCCUGAUCCAGCCAUGCCGCGUGUGUGAAGAAGGCCUUUUGGUUGUAAAGCACUUUAAGCAGGGAGGAGAGGCUAAUGGUUAAUACCCAUUAGAUUAGACGUUACCUGCAGAAUAAGCACCGGCUAACUCUGUGCCAGCAGCCGCGGUAAUACAGAGGGUGCGAGCGUUAAUCGGAAUUACUGGGCGUAAAGCGAGUGUAGGUGGCUCAUUAAGUCACAUGUGAAAUCCCCGGGCUUAACCUGGGAACUGCAUGUGAUACUGGUGGUGCUAGAAUAUGUGAGAGGGAAGUAGAAUUCCAGGUGUAGCGGUGAAAUGCGUAGAGAUCUGGAGGAAUACCGAUGGCGAAGGCAGCUUCCUGGCAUAAUAUUGACACUGAGAUUCGAAAGCGUGGGUAGCAAACAGGAUUAGAUACCCUGGUAGUCCACGCCGUAAACGAUGUCUACUAGCCGUUGGGGUCCUUGAGACUUUAGUGGCGCAGUUAACGCGAUAAGUAGACCGCCUGGGGAGUACGGCCGCAAGGUUAAAACUCAAAUGAAUUGACGGGGGCCCGCACAAGCGGUGGAGCAUGUGGUUUAAUUCGAUGCAACGCGAAGAACCUUACCUGGUCUUGACAUAGUGAGAAUCCUGCAGAGAUGCGGGAGUGCCUUCGGGAAUUCACAUACAGGUGCUGCAUGGCUGUCGUCAGCUCGUGUCGUGAGAUGUUGGGUUAAGUCCCGCAACGAGCGCAACCCUUUUCCUUAUUUGCCAGCGGGUUAAGCCGGGAACUUUAAGGAUACUGCCAGUGACAAACUGGAGGAAGGCGGGGACGACGUCAAGUCAUCAUGGCCCUUACGACCAGGGCUACACACGUGCUACAAUGGUAGGUACAGAGGGUUGCUACACAGCGAUGUGAUGCUAAUCUCAAAAAGCCUAUCGUAGUCCGGAUUGGAGUCUGCAACUCGACUCCAUGAAGUCGGAAUCGCUAGUAAUCGCAGAUCAGAAUGCUGCGGUGAAUACGUUCCCGGGCCUUGUACACACCGCCCGUCACACCAUGGGAGUCUAUUGCACCAGAAGUAGGUAGCCUAACGCAAGAGGGCGCUA
rnacentral:rRNA from 1 species